rnacentral:rRNA from 1 species
UACGGGGGGAGCAAGCGUUGUCCGGAAUUAUUGGGUGUAAAGAGCUCGUAGGCGGUUUGUCGCGUCUGCUGUGAAAACUCGGGGCUUAACCCCGGGCCUGCAGUGGGUACGGGCAGACUAGAGUGCGGUAGGGGAGACUGGAAUUCCUGGUGUAGCGGUGAAAUGCGCAGAUAUCAGGAGGAACACCGGUGGCGAAGGCGGGUCUCUGGGCCGUAACUGACGCUGAGGAGCGAAAGCGUGGGGAGCGAACAGG